GCAGCAAUAGAUAUCGUCCGCCCCGAACCUCUGCUCUGCAAGCUGAAAUCCCCCCAGGGCGCAUUCCGUCACCUAAAGUUAUAGUGAGCAUGCGGGGCGACUCGUUUUGAAAUGAGGACGCAUGCAGCUUUUCCUCGAAGUUUUACUGAACAGAGCAUUCCCUCUGAAGACGCCAGGAUAACGCGGAUACAAACCGCUGCUGCUGAUGGCGGUGAUGGGAGGAGUGGCAGCUUGGUGACGCAGCGCAGCGCAGCGCCGCUCCUCCCUCCGUUAACCGGCGAGGAGGAACAACUUUCUCUCCUCUCACUGUUCACUUUCCUGAUGUAGUUGCCGUCAGAAAGAGGAGCAGACGAGGGGGGGUUAGCGGUUUUUUUUUCGCAAGUACACGGAGAAGUUUGGACAUGAAAACAUUCAGCGAGUAGAAGAUAAAUAUACAUAAAAAAGGGACGUAGAACUUUUCGACUUGGUUUUUCCUUCAUAAAAAAGUGCGGCAACAUGAAGCCGCAGCUGCGCUUCAGCCUCUCUCUGUGGACUCCCCUGGUCUUCAGCGCUCUCCUCCUGAACAUCCAGGCAGAGACAACAGCUGCACAAAAUACAACAACUGCACCAACAACAACUGCACC